UACGUAGGGUGCAAGCGUUGUCCGGAAUUAUUGGGCGUAAAGAGCUCGUAGGCGGUUUGUCGCGUCGAAUGUGAAAUCCCGGGGCUCAACCCCGGAACUGCAUUCGAUACUGCUGCGCUAGAGUACUGGAGAGGAGAUUGGAAUUCACGGUGUAGCAGUGAAAUGCGUAGAUAUCGUAAGGAAGACCAGUGGCGAAGGCGGAUCUCUGGACAGUUACUGACACUGAGGCACGAAGGCCAGGGGAGCAAACGGGAU
rnacentral:rRNA from 1 species